CUCCGAUUCAGUUCUGACACUCUCUACCUAAAGACCGCGUCCGAUCCCAGAGGUUGAGGGCUCUGGGUGUCCUCCGAUUCAGUUCUGACACUCUCUACCUAAAGACCGCGUCAGAUCCCAGAGGUUGAGGGCUCAGUCUCACAAGACUGCCCCCCGACUUCCGCCGCCAACCGCAAGCCCCUGGUUGUUUUACCUGUGCUUCUGACCAAGCAGGACAUCAUGACCUCCAGUGUGCAUUCAACCUAACAGAGCUGCUAAACUCAUUGCCUUUCUGCUCUGCCUCUCCUCUCUCCUGCAACACCCUCUCUGUCUCAUAAAUAUAGUCACAAUUUUCUCAUGGUUUAAGCCAAGAAACAGUUAAAAACUCUAAAGUCUUUUAUCCAAUGCAUUAAAAAACUGAGAUACUAAAUUAGAUAAGUUGUUAUCCGGUAGAACUCACGAAAGAAUCAAAUGUUCUCGACAAAAUUUAGAACAAAAUUUGACCCUGGAAAAUGGAGGUGAUAGAAAUAAAGUCCACAAAAGGAAACUUG
rnacentral:lncRNA from 1 species